AACUUCUAGCCCAUCAUUUCCCUCAAAGACUCAGAAGAAAAUGACACUGUGGCUUCCAUUUCUUUUCUUUUUGGCAAUAUUCAGAGGAGUCCUUUCAGAGGUCCAGCUGGUGGAAUCUGGAGGAGAGGUCAAAAGACCUGGAGAGUCCCUCCGCCUCUCCUGUCGAGCCUCCGGGUUCACCUUCAGCAACUACUGGAUGGAGUGGGUGAGACAGGCUCCUGGGAAAGGGCUUGAAUGGGUGGCAGAUAUAAACCCUGGUGGAAGUACCCUACGCUAUGCCGGCUCGGUGCGAGGACGUUUCACCAUCUCCAGGGACAACCCUUCCAGCAGGCUGUAUCUGCAAAUGGGCAGCCUGAAACUUGAAGACACGGCCGUGUAUUACUGUGCAAGACACAGUGAGAGGAAGCGGCUGUGA